rnacentral:rRNA from 1 species
UACGGAGGGUGCGAGCGUUGUCCGGAUUUAUUGGGUUUAAAGGGUGCGUAGGUGGGUUAAUAAGUCAGUGGUGAAAUACAGUUGCUCAACAAUCGAGGUGCCAUUGAUACUGUUAAUCUUGAAACAAGUGGAGGUUGCCGGAAUGGAUGGUGUAGCGGUGAAAUGCAUAGAUAUCAUCCAGAACACCGAUUGCGAAGGCAGGUGACUACGUUUGAUUUGACACUGAGGCACGAAAGCAUGGGGAGCAAACAGG